rnacentral:rRNA from 1 species
UGCAAGUCGAGCGAGCUUGCCUAUAGAAAUUCUUCGGAAUGGACAUAGAUACAAGCUAGCGGCGGAUGGGUGAGUAACGCGUGGGUAACCUGCCCUUAAGUCUGGGAUACCAUUUGGAAACAGAUGCUAAUACCGGAUAAAAGCUACUUUCGCAUGAAAGAAGUUUAAAAGGCGGCGUAAGCUGUCGCUAAAGGAUGGACCUGCGAUGCAUUAGCUAGUUGGUAAGGUAACGGCUUACCAAGGCGAUGAUGCAUAGCCGAGUUGAGAGACUGAUCGGCCACAUUGGGACUGAGACACGGCCCAAACUCCUACGGGAGGCAGCAGUAGGGAAUCUUCCACAAUGGACGAAAGUCUGAUGGAGCAACGCCGCGUGAGUGAAGAAGGUUUUCGGAUCGUAAAGCUCUGUUGUUGGUGAAGAAGGAUAGAGGUAGUAACUGGCCUUUAUUUGACGGUAAUCAACCAGAAAGUCACGGCUAACUACGUGCCAGCAGCCGCGGUAAUACGUAGGUGGCAAGCGUUGUCCGGAUUUAUUGGGCGUAAAGCGAGCGCAGGCGGAUUGAUAAGUCUGAUGUGAAAGCCUUCGGCUCAACCGAAGAACUGCAUCAGAAACUGUCAAUCUUGAGUGCAGAAGAGGAGAGUGGAACUCCAUGUGUAGCGGUGGAAUGCGUAGAUAUAUGGAAGAACACCAGUGGCGAAGGCGGCUCUCUGGUCUGUAACUGACGCUGAGGCUCGAAAGCAUGGGUAGCGAACAGGAUUAGAUACCCUGGUAGUCCAUGCCGUAAACGAUGAGUGCUAAGUGUUGGGAGGUUUCCGCCUCUCAGUGCUGCAGCUAACGCAUUAGCACUCCGCCUGGGGAGUACGACCGCAAGGUUGAAACUCAAAGGAAUUGACGGGGCCCGCACAAGCGGUGGAGCAUGUGGUUUAUU